rnacentral:rRNA from 1 species
UACGGAGGGAGCUAGCGUUAUUCGGAAUUACUGGGCGUAAAGCGCACGUAGGCGGCUUUGCAAGUAAGAGGUGAAAGCCCAGAGCUCAACUCUGGAAUUGCCUUUUAGACUGCAUCGCUUGAAUCAUGGAGAGGUCAGUGGAAUUCCGAGUGUAGAGGUGAAAUUCGUAGAUAUUCGGAAGAACACCAGUGGCGAAGGCGGCUGACUGGACAUGUAUUGACGCUGAGGUGCGAAGCGUGGGGAGCAAACAGG